GACGAACGCUGGCGGCGUGCUUAACACAUGCAAGUCGAACGGAAAGGCCCUGCUUUUGUGGGGUGCUCGAGUGGCGAACGGGUGAGUAACACGUGAGUAACCUGCCCUUGACUUUGGGAUAACUUCAGGAAACUGGGGCUAAUACCGGAUAGGAGCUCCUGCUGCAUGGUGGGGGUUGGAAAGUUUCGGCGGUUGGGGAUGGACUCGCGGCUUAUCAGCUUGUUGGUGGGGUAGUGGCUUACCAAGGCUUUGACGGGUAGCCGGCCUGAGAGGGUGACCGGCCACAUUGGGACUGAGAUACGGCCCAGACUCCUACGGGAGGCAGCAGUGGGGAAUAUUGCACAAUGGGCGGAAGCCUGAUGCAGCAACGCCGCGUGCGGGAUGACGGCCUUCGGGUUGUAAACCGCUUUCGCCUGUGACGAAGCGUGAGUGACGGUAAUGGGUAAAGAGGCACGGGCUAACUACGAG
rnacentral:rRNA from 1 species